GGAACACUUUGGAAAUUUUCUGCAAAUCAUACCAAAUUGUGUCGUAAUGGAAUAUGACCCAUAUUUUGAAAAAAAGGAAAAAAAUUUGCUAUUGUUGAAACACCUUAAAACGUAACAGAAGCCCUCGUUAGCUCAGGCUUCUUUAAUCUUACUCACUCAUAUGCUCCAUAAUGUUGGUCAAUCUCUCUGUCAAUCAUGUUCUCACUCUGGUUCAAACUCUAGCUCUCAUUCUCUCUCGUGCUCUCUCUUUUGAUCGAGCUUUUCUUGAUUUUGAAGGUGAAGAGGAUGUUGAGAACAGGGGAGGGAGGGAGGAAGGAGAUGAGAGGGAAAAAAGACGAGAGAAGGAAGUGAGAAUUUGUUUUGUUUUAUUUGCGGCAAUUUCUCUAAGUGGAUGUUUGAUGGGUGAGGUGGACUUAGGUUGGGUGGGCUUAAAAAGCUCAUCCGAUGUUUGAUGUACGUUGAAAUUAAAACGGUGAGUUUAAAACUCACCGUAUUACCUUCUCAAUCUCUCUCCUCAUUUCACGCCUCAAUUGCAGGUUCUUAAUUACUCUACCCCGUAAAAUGAAGGGAGAAAUUGAGAAGACUUAUCCACGGACUCCUUUGAUAAAGUGUGUUGGUAAGUCCCUGAUCCUUCCUUAUUAUUUCAACUUUCUCUUAAAUCCGUUUUAAUUCUAGUAUGUGUUGUCUAGCUGUUGCAAUAUACUUUGUUUCCUUCUUCCACCUCUAACGUCAACUUAUUCCAUCCAUAUAAGGUAUGCUUCCUUCUUUCCUUAUAAUCGAAGUAAGAUCUGUCGUUAACAUUUUCUUGUUUUUGUUAGGCCUUGAACAUAUUAUUCUACCCCCCUAGUUAUGGACUGUCUCGACCCUCGCUCACUCCAAACAUAAACAAAGAACCCAAACUAAUUGAACAUACCUUUCGUAACUAGUUUGAAGUUCGUAAGUUUUAAGUUUGGAAUGAUCUUCGUUACUGUCUAUUCUUUCUUGUACUUAUUGGGAACUGUUUAGUUGAAAUGUAUUAUGGUUAUGUAUUUUGGACUUGUAUGUUAGACAUUUUCCCAUAUUUUCUCCAUUAUGAGAAUAUUGGAUUUUUUUUUUAUCCUCUGUUUCU